rnacentral:rRNA from 1 species
AGCAUAUCAAUAAGCGGAGGAAAAGAAACCAACAGGGAUUGCCCUAGUAACGGCGAGUGAAGCGGCAACAGCUCAAAUUUGAAAUCUGGCUUCGGCCCGAGUUGUAAUUUGCAGAGGAAGCUUUAGGCGCGGCACCUUCUGAGUCCCCUGGAACGGGGCGCCAUAGAGGGUGAGAGCCCCGUAUAGUUGGAUGCCUAGCCUGUGUAAAGCUCCUUCGACGAGUCGAGUAGUUUGGGAAUGCUGCUCAAAAUGGGAGGUAAAUUUCUUCUAAAGCUAAAUACCGGCCAGAGACCGAUAGCGCACAAGUAGAGUGAUCGAAAGAUGAAAAGCACUUUGAAAAGAGGGUUAAAUAGCACGUGAAAUUGUUGAAAGGGAAGCGCUUGUGACCAGACUUGCGCCGGGCAGAUCAUCCGGUGUUCUCACCGGUGCACUCUGCCCGGCUCAGGCCAGCAUCGGUUCUCGCGGGGGGAUAAAGGCCCUGGGAACGUAGCUCCUCCGGGAGUGUUAUAGCCCGGGGCGUAAUGCCCUCGCGGGGACCGAGGUUCGCGCAUCUGCAAGGAUGCUGGCGUAAUGGUCAUCAGCGACCCGU